rnacentral:lncRNA from 1 species
AUUUUCCUUCCUUAGGUUGAUCUCUCUAGAUGAUAAAAGACCAAUAGUGGUGAGCAUUUUGCUGCUUUGACUUUGCCUCCCUCCCUCCCUCUCUUCUCGUGGUGUUGGGUAGGCAGGUGACCCACUACUGGGCUACACCUCCAGUCCUAACAAUUCCAAUAUUAAUUUGCAUGUUGUCCCUAACCUUCUGGGUUUCUGUUUUGGACUUCUUUUAAUUACUUAGUAACAAUGAUUUUUAAAUGAUUUAUAAUAUAUAUUCUCCCUGUGUCACUCCACCUAACCCUAAGACUCACCAGUGACAGUGGUCUGCUCUUUUCCCUGUUCCAUGAAGGUGCUCAGAGGUCUCAAGCUUGCUCAGUGGCCAGAGCGGGAAAGUGGCAGCACCAGAGCAGUCCAAGAGCCUGGGCUCCAGGUCCAGCCUUUUACCUGCCUGCAGGCUGUGAGUGGACUUCAUGGAAGGGCUGGAUGAGGGAGGGCAUGAAGAGUCCACAAAGGAACAGCAAGAGAGGAUGAGUCAGCUCUUGCUCCCAGGGGGAGGUAAGUCAUGAAUGCCAAUGACCAGAAGACAAAGUCAACAGUGAUCCCACCAGCAUUUUGGAAGCAGUCCACUUUCUCCCCCCUCCUAUUUAACAUGCUCAGUUCUUUCCAAUUCCUCCCCACCCAGAAUCCACAGAACCAAACACUGGGGUGGGGGCAGCGGCCAGCCCGUCUCCUCUGGUUUGCGGCAUUAUGUCAUCCACUUGGAG